GCAAAGUAAAAGAACGCCACCAACACCAGACAUGAAGGUCCAUACCCAACGACUGCCUUACGGACCGUUCAUGACAAGCCGAGAGAUGUGCCAGGUUUGCCCCGUGUAGUCACUGGAGUGCCAGGUUGAAGAAUCCACUAGUCAAAGAUCUGAAGUUGGACAUGCCUGAAGAGCUGGCAACGCGUCUUAAACCCGUGAGAUUUUCUGAUGCCUGUCUUUCUUGCCAUCCUAAAAGCCUCACUUCACUACUGUCAGUAAACAGUCCUACAGCUUUGUGGCAGGCAGGUAUCCUCUGAAACUCUCUACCCAGUGCUGGCACACAUUUCAUGAUGACUGACCUGAUUUUGGGUCAGAUUCACCCCUUCUGGCAAUUACAACAGUUGUUCCAAUAUCCCUAAAUGUGAGGUAUGCAUUGACGAAUCUUAAUAUUCUUGAAUUACCCACAUGCCUGUUGUUCACAUCAUAAAUAUCAAACAUUUUCAAUAUUUAUGGCAUUAAAUCCGGCAGUGUAGGGGGAAUACCAAGUUUUUUUUAUAUGUAACACAUCUUGACAUCAUGUGUGAACAACCGACAUAGCCAAUGAGAGAUGAGAGGAACAACGGAGCUAUACAUAGUGACAAAGAAGCAAGCCUACUUCUCCUGAAUGAGAUGAACUUCUCUUUUCAAUUUUAUUUUUUUCACUAUACAAUAAUGUACACACUACCACAGCAAUCCCCCAUAUUUAUUUAAAUGUCAUAUUUUUCUCCACAGAUCCCAGGCUGAGAUCUGAGAGAUCACAGGGUUCAGAGUGGACAUAGCCUUCUUGUAUGCACUCCAAUAACUGAAGGCAGACUAAAAUAAAAAGAAAUUGGUUCAAUUUG